rnacentral:rRNA from 1 species
AACGAACGCUGGCGGCAGGCUUAACACAUGCAAGUCGAACGGGUGUAGCAAUACAUCAGUGGCAGACGGGUGAGUAACACGUGGGAACCUUCCUAGGGGUACGGAACAACUCAGGGAAACUUGAGCUAAUACCGUAUACGUCCGUGAGGAGAAAGAUUUAUCGCCCUUAGACGGGCCCGCGUCGGAUUAGCUAGUUGGUGGGGUAACGGCCUACCAAGGCGACGAUCCGUAGCUGAUCUUAGAGGAUGAUCAGCCACACUGGGACUGAGACACGGCCCAGACUCCUACGGGAGGCAGCAGUGGGGAAUCUUGGACAAUGGGCGCAAGCCUGAUCCAGCCAUGCCGCGUGAGUGAAGAAGGUCUUCGGAUUGUAAAGCUCUUUUGCCAGGGACGAUAAUGACGGUACCUGGAGAAUAAGCCCCGGCAAACUUCGUGCCAGCAGCCGCCGUAA